CCUACGGGGGGCAGCAGUGGGGAAUAUUGCACAAUGGGCGCAAGCCUGAUGCAGCAAUGCCGCGUGUGUGAAGAAGGCCUUAGGGUUGUAAAGCACUUUCACCGGUGACGAUGAUGACGGUAGCCGGAGAAGAAGCCCCGGCUAACUCCGUGCCAGCAGCCGCGGU
rnacentral:rRNA from 1 species